AUUGAACGCUGGCGGCAUGCUUUACACAUGCAAGUCGAACGGUAACAGGCCGCAAGGUGCUGACGAGUGGCGAACGGGUGAGUAAUGCAUCGGAACGUGCCCAGUCGUGGGGGAUAACGCAGCGAAAGCUGCGCUAAUACCGCAUACGAUCUAUGAAUGAAAGCGGGGGACUGUAAGGCCUCGCGCGAUUGGAGCGGCCGAUGUCAGAUUAGGUAGUUGGUGGGGUAAAGGCUCACCAAGCCAACGAUCUGUAGCUGGUCUGAGAGGACGACCAGCCACGCUGGGACUGAGACACGGCCCAGACUCCUACGGGAGGCAGCAGUGGGGAAUUUUGGACAAUGGGCGCAAGCCUGAUCCAGCAAUGCCGCGUGCAGGAAGAAGGCCUUCGGGUUGUAAACUGCUUUUGUACGGAACGAAACGGCUCUGGUUAAUACCUGGGGCUAAUGACGGUACCGUAAGAAUAAGCACCGGCUAACUACGUGCCAGCAGCCGCCGUAAUAC
rnacentral:rRNA from 1 species